rnacentral:tRNA from 9 species
UUUGUAGCUCAGUUGGUAGAGCAGAGGACUGAAAAUCCUCGUGUCGUUGGUUCGAUUCCGACCGA